AUUGAACGCUGGCGGCAGGCCUAACACAUGCAAGUCGAGCGGAGGGCCGGAGGGGUGAGUAAGGCCUAGGAAUCUGCCUGGUAGUGGGGGAUAAGGUCAGGAAACGGGCGCUAAUACCACAUCCUAUCAGCUGAGCCUAGGUCGGAUUAGCUAGUUGGUGGGGUAAAGGCCUACCAAGGCGACGAUCCGUAACUGGGCUGAGAGGAUGAUCAGUCACACUGGAACUGAGACACGGUCCAGACUCCUACGGGAGGCAGCAGUGGGGAAUAUUGGACAAUGGGCGAAAGCCUGAUCCAGCCAUGCCGCGUGUGUGAAGAAGGUCUUCGGAUUGUAAAGCACUUUAAGUUGGGAGGCGUUACCAACAGAAUAAGCACCGGCUAACUUCGUGCCAGCAGCCGCGGUAAUAC
rnacentral:rRNA from 1 species